ACAUUUAAUGCUGCCAGGUUUUUUUUCAUUCAGUGGCUACUUGGUUUGGUAAGAAAUUUGUGUUAAGUGCUUGCUGGUUGCCAAGAUAUCCUCUUCCAAGACUUUUGUAUUUUUAUACACUGUCUAUCUUUGAGGUUCAGCAAUUGUUUUAUUUUCUCACUUUUUCUUUCAGAAAACUUUGCUGCCUUUUAGAACAGUGGUUCUUAACUUUUGUAAUGCUGUGACCCUCAAUACUUAAUGCUUCUCAAACCAUAAAAGUAUUUUCAUUGUUACUUCAUAACUGUAAUUUUGCUACUGUUAUAAAUUGUAAUAGAAGUAUCUGAUAUGCAGGAUAUUUGAUAUACAAACCCUGUGAAAGAGCCAUUUGACCCCCAAAAGGGUCAUGACCUAUAUGUUGAGUUGAGAAUGGCUGCUUUUGUUUAUUUGUUUUGGGUUUCCGAGACAGGGUUUCUCUGUAUAACAGAGCCCUGUCCUAGAAUUCACUCUGUAGACCAGGCCUCAAACUGGAAGAUCCACCUGCCUCUGCUUCCCAAGUGCUAGGGUUAAAGAGAUGUGCCACCACCACCAGGCUCAAGAACCACUGUUUUAAAGUAUAAAAUUUUGGUGAGUAAUGGUAUUAUAUUUAAUUCUUAGGUCUGAAGUAGGUAGCAAAAUACACCUCAUAAAUUUAUGCUAAAAGAGACCUUGUUAUUGAAUCAUGAUAUCAAUAUUUAUAAAAGCCUGGUUUUUGGUUUAUAGUUCUCUCUUUGGCAUCAUGCUGUACUGGACAAAUGCCACUCUAGGUAUAUAACCUUUAUGAAGUCAGUCUUUGAUUUGGAAUCAUACACACAAUUCUGGUCAUGCCAAUGAAAAAUUUGUAUUGAUUUUUUUAAGCUUAGGUGUGAAAUUUUCUUGGUCAUUAGAGUAAGGUUGUAACUCAGUUGUCUUGUUUUUUUUCUGGAGAACUUGCCUAGGACUGGCUAUGUGAUUUACCAGGAACUUUUGUUUGAAAAUUAUUAGGGAUUUUAAGGUGGUAAUAGCAGAACAUUUAAUCAGGUGCAGGGUCCUGUGGAGCUAUAUAGGUCAUUUGUCCUUGAAGCUAGCUGUGUCUGGUUUUUGUGCUCAUUUCUUUAUAACACGUGAUUAAGAAAGCACAUUUCCUAAUUUUUGUUUUAUAAUUAUAUAUUUUACUUUUUUAAUUUGAAGAAAAUGCCUGUACUGCAGUUUAAAAUACUUUCAAAAUAUUUUAUAAUGUUUUGUUUUCUCAUUUAAGAUCUGAUUAAGGUGGGCUGGAGAGAUGGCUCAGCGGUUAAGAGCACCUACUGCUCUACCGAAGGUCCUGAGUUCAAAUCCCAGCAACCACAUGGUAGUUCACAACCACCCGUAAUGAGAUCUGAUGCCCUCUUCUGGUGUGUCUGAAGACAGCUACAUUGUUCUUAUUUAUAAUAAUGAAUAAAUCUUAAAAAAAAAAAGAUCUGAUUAAGCAAUAGUUCAAAUUUUGCUUGUUUAAUAUAGGUUUAUUGUUAAAGAUUUAAAUAAAUAUAAGCAUAAAACACAGUAUUUAAAAUUAAGAAAAAAACUUUAUUACUGCUGAUAGUUUGUUGUAUUAUAUUCAGGCUUCUUUGUCUUUUGGAUUUUAGAAUUGAUCAUCCUUUUAGCCUGAGUUAAACACAUGGCUAAUCAUCAGGUUAGCUAAAACUUCUCUUAAUGGCCAGGGAGAUGGCUCAGUCAGUAGAGUGCUUGGCCUAGAAGCAUGAAGACAGAAUUCAAUCCUAUUUAAAAGAUGUACCUGUUAUCUAAAUGCUGGGAAGGUGGAGACAAGAGUAACCCAGAAGCUUGCUGGGACACUGGUGAGGGUUUUGUUUUUUUUUUUGUUUUUUGUUUUUUUGACUCACCCACUGUUAGAAUCAGUAGGAUUUAUUUAUUGUUGUCUUAUGAUGCUAGGGAUAGAACUCAGGGUUUCACAUAUGCCAGGUAAUUAUCUCACCUCUUAGCUAUAUCCUCAGGUCCCUUUUUAUUUCUGAGUGAGGUAGUCCAUUGUAGAAAAACAGCACAAUUUAUUUAUCUAAUCACCGGUUGUUAGAUACUUUGGGUUUCUGGUUUAGGACAGUUGUGAAAAGCUGCUGUGGACAUUUGGGUUACAGUUCUUGUGAUUCUGUUUUAUUUCUCUUGGGUUAAUACCUAGAAGCAGAACUACUAGUUCUACUUUAGUAGGCGUGAGCAUUUCUGUGUGCUGAGCUUUAUAAGGAGACUGCUCAAACUGUUUUCUAGAGUAGUAAUGUCAAUUUGUAUUUAUAUACUGCAAUGAUAAUAAAAAAAUGAACAAAUUAUAGCAGUAUACAAUAGCAGCAGAAAUUUUUUUUUAAAAAAAGCAAUACAAAAUAAUUCUACAAAAUGAUUCUAUUCAAAAGGCAAACAUAGCCAGACAGUAGCACUACCUUCAAUUGUAGCACUCAGGAUGCAGAGGCAGGUGGAUCUCUGAGUUUGAGGCCUGGCCUACUUUCUCGUUCAGGACAACCAGGGCUACACGGAGAAAUCUUCUCUUG
rnacentral:lncRNA from 1 species